GCACCCGAAAAGCCUUUGUCUCUCUCUCUCUACAUCUCCCUCUCUCUCCUUCCUCUCUUCUCUCUCUAUCUUUCUCAGUACGUUUUCGAUUGACGCCAUUGAAAAUUGAGUUAAAUCGGUUUGAAUCGGAUUGAACAGAACCAUUCUCAUUUGUGUGUGUUUGCUUUGCUUCUCUUCUCUCAAUCGUUCGUUUCUGUGGACAAAAAGGGGGGCAGGUUUGAGUUAUGCCCUCUAUUCAAAUCGCCCCUAUCCUCCUCAGAUCUUAGCCUUCCCCUCGACGAGAUUCAGCAUCUGGGUUUUCUUAAUCUGAUUGAGGAGCGAAAGAAAAAAUGCAAUCCGACAAUGGAAAGCUGUUCAUCGGAGGGAUAUCUUGGGACACCAAUGAGGAACGUCUCAAGGAGUAUUUCAGCACGUUCGGUGAAGUCAUCGAAGCUGUGAUCUUGAAAGAUCGCACCACGGGCCGUGCACGUGGCUUCGGCUUUGUUGUCUUUGCUGAUCCAGCUGUUGCUGAGUUUGUUAUCACCGAGAAGCAUCACAUCGAUGGCAGAUUGGUUGAAGCCAAGAAGGCUGUUCCUAGAGAUGACCAGAACAUGGUGACUAGAAGCAACAGCAGCAGCAUCCAAGGAUCACCUGGUGGCGGUGGUGGUGGUGGUGGUCCAGGAGUAGUUCGCACAAGGAAGAUAUUCGUCGGAGGGUUACCUUCUUCCGUCACUGAAAGCGAUUUCAAGACCUACUUUGAGCAGUUCGGGACGACCACCGACGUGGUUGUUAUGUACGACCACAACACGCAAAGGCCUAGAGGUUUCGGAUUCAUAACUUAUGAUUCCGAGGAUGCAGUUGAGAAAGUGCUGCUCAAGACGUUCCAUGAACUCAACGGUAAGAUGGUUGAGGUCAAGAGGGCUGUUCCCAAGGAGAUGUCUCCUAGUCCAGCUCGUAGUCCUCUCGGUGCUGGCUACAGCUAUGGGGUUAAUAGGGUUAACAACCUUUUGAAUGGAUAUGCUCAAGGGUUUAAUCCGGGUGCGGUUGGUGGAUACGGGCUUAGGAUGGAUGGUCGGUUUAGUCCGGUUGGUGCUGGGAGAAGCGGGUUUGCGAAUUUUGGUUCUGGCUAUGGGAUGAAUAUGAACUUUGAGCAGACGGGGUUUGGUGGAGGUACGAGUUUUAAUGGAAACGUGGACUAUGGGAGAGGGAUGAGCCCUUACUACAUUGGGAACACAAACCGGUUUGGUCCUGGUCCUGCUGUUGGUUAUGAAGGAGGCAAUGGAGUAGGAGGAGGAGGAGGAAACUCGUCCUUCUUCAGUUCGGUUACAAGGAACCUAUGGGGAAACAACGGUGGUCUUAACUAUAACAACAACAACAACAGCGCUACAAACUUAAACUCAAACUCCAAUACAUACAUGGGAGGAGGAGGAGGAUCAACAAGUGGGAACAACACUCUUAGCGGUCCAUUUGGAAACUGGGGUGCUUCUGGAGGAGGUGGAAACAAUGCUGUUGUUGGUAGUAACGAGAAUGUGAAGUUUGGUUACGGAGGAAACGGUGAGUCUGGCUUUGGGUUGGGAGCAGGUGGAUAUGCAGCGAGGAACAUAGGGCCUCCUAGCAAGGCGGCGGCAGCGCCGUCGUCUUCUUCAUUCUCUUCUGCCUCGGCUGCCAACAACAACAUUGGUUACGAUGGAGCAGGGCUUGCAGAGUUUUAUGGGAAUGGUGCGGUGUAUAGUGAUCCCACGUGGAGAUCACCGACGCCUGAGACGGAAGGGCCUGCUUCUUUUAGCUAUGGGAUUGGAGGAGGAGGAGGAGGUCCUUCCUCUGAUGUUUCAGGUAGAAGUUCAUCUCCAGGUUAUGUUGGCAGUUACAGUGUGAACAAGAGACAACCAAACAGAGAUGGAUGCUUGGUGGACAAGCGACUAUAAAAUUCAAGGACCCGAUUUAGCGAUCUCAGUGCAAGCAGGUGGAAUCAUCUGUCCGGUGAGAACAGGCUUCAUGUUAGCACAGGCCCCUACAGCUGGUCCUUCUGCACCUUUGUGGACCAAGUUGAUGUCAGCAAGAGCAACAUUAGUGCAAGGCGUGCCUGAGCUGCAGAUUAAUUUCACAGCAAUCUUUGUCGCUGAUGUGCCCUUAAUGUUCUUGAAGGUCACGUCCGACAAUUUCACCUUAGAAGUCGGCAUAAGGACAGUACUCUUGGUCGAUGAGAACGGGAGUGCUAACAUUGUCCAUUGUGAUAUCCUCAAAAAUAAUGUUGGAGGCAAUACCAGGAGGAGAUCCAGGCCAUGUCUUGAUGCGAACACCAUUCAUGGUGUUCUUGAUGAGGCAUUUCCUCACUGUGACUCCUUUGACUGGUUGCUCAUUAGGGUACCUUCCUAGACUCCCUACGGCAAUGCCGUGUCCCGGUCCACAUUCCACAUUCUCAACAAUGAGAUUCUCAGUACCAUCUCCUAUGGAAACACAGUCAUCUCCUGUUUUAAUCUUUGCCCCUAGUAAGUUCACGCCGAUGGACCUUCCAAUGUGGAUACCAUCAGUGUUGAGACUCUCCGGUGGUGCAUCAAUACCAAUUUUCUCAAGAGUUACGUUCUUGCAGUUGAGAACGUUCAUGUGGAAAAGUUUGCUGUUCGUUGAUGUUAUGCCAAUAAUUUUGGAGUUUGUGAGACCCGUGAAUCGUAUGUUCUGUUACCAAAAAGUGCAUAAUAAACUCACCAAACUGCUAAUAGUUAUAACAUUAAAAAUUAUAGUUGAUGUAAAGUGAACGUUCUUACGA